rnacentral:rRNA from 1 species
GAUCCUGGCUCAGAAUCAACGCUGGCGGCGUGCCUCAGACAUGCAAGUCGAACGCGAAAGUCCCCUUCGGGGGGCGAGUAGAGUGGCGCACGGGUGAGUAACACGUAGGUAAUUUGCCUUCGGGUGGGGAAUAACAGCCGGAAACGGCUGCUAAUACCGCAUAAUGCAGCGGCUCGACAUCGAGACAGUUGUUAAAGCGGGGGAUUCGCAAGAACCUCGCGCCUGAAGAGAAGCCUGCGGCAGAUUAGCUAGUUGGUAAGGUAAUGGCUUACCAAGGCGACGAUCUGUAACCGGCCUGAGAGGGCGGUCGGUCACACUGACACUGACAUACGGGUCAGACUCCUACGGGAGGCAGCAGUCGGGAAUUUUGGGCAAUGGGCGAAAGCCUGACCCAGCAACGCCGCGUGAAGGAUGAAAUCCCUCGGGAUGUAAACUUCGCAAGAAUGGGAAGAAUAAGUGGGGGACAAUACCCCCCAUGAUGACGGUACCAUUUGUAAGCUCCGGCUAACUCCGUGCCAGCAGCCGCGGUAAUACGGGGGGAGCAAGCGUUGUUCGGAUUUACUGGGCGUAAAGGGCGCGUAGGCGGUCGUGACAAGUCACUUGUGAAAUCUCCGGGCUUAACUCGGAACGGUCAAGUGAUACUGUCGGACUAGAGUACAGAAGGGGCAACUGGAAUUCUCGGUGUAGCGG